rnacentral:rRNA from 1 species
GACGAACGCUGGCGGCGUGCUUAACACAUGCAAGUCGAACGGAAAGGCCCUGCUUUUGUGGGGUGCUCGAGUGGCGAACGGGUGAGUAACACGUGAGUAACCUGCCCUUGACUUUGGGAUAACUUCAGGAAACUGGGGCUAAUACCGGAUAGGAGCUCCUGCUGCAUGGUGGGGGUUGGAAAGUUUCGGCGGUUGGGGAUGGACUCGCGGCUUAUCAGCUUGUUGGUGGGGUAGUGGCUUACCAAGGCUUUGACGGGUAGCCGGCCUGAGAGGGUGACCGGCCACAUUGGGACUGAGAGACGGCCCAGACUCGUACGGGAGGCAGCAGUGGGGAAUAUUGCACAAUGGGCGGAAGCCUGAUGCAGAAACGCCGCGUGCGGGAUGACGGCUUUCGGGUUGUAAACCGCUUUCGCCUGUGACGAAGCGUGAGUGACGGUAAUGGGUAAAGAAGCACCGGCUAACUACGUG